rnacentral:rRNA from 1 species
UACAGAGGGUGCAAGCGUUAAUCGGAAUUACUGGGCGUAAAGCGCGCGUAGGCGGAUAUUUAAGUCGGAUGUGAAAGCCCCGGGCUCAACCUGGGAACUGCACUCGAUACUGGGUAUCUUGAGUAUGGUAGAGGAAAGUGGAAUUCCCGGUGUAGCGGUGAAAUGCAUAGAUAUCGGGAGGAACACCAGUGGCGAAGGCGACUUUCUGGACCAAUACUGACGCUGAGGUGCGAAAGCGUGGGGAGCAAACAGG